rnacentral:rRNA from 1 species
GAUGAACGCUAGCGGCAGGCCUAAUACAUGCAAGGCGAAGGGGCAGCAAUGUCACUGUCGUACGGGUGCGUAACGCGUAUGCAACCUACCUAUCACAGGGGAAUAGCCUUUGGAAACAGGGAUGAAUACCGCAUAAAGCAGGGACACCGCAUGGUGAUAUUGCUAAAGAUUUAUCGGUGAGAGAUGGGCAUGCGUCUGAUUAGUUAGUUGGUAGGGUAACGGCCUACAAAGACGAGGAUCAGUAGGGGGCGGCAGAGCGUGGUCCCCCACACUGGCACUGAGAUCCUGGCCAGACUCAUACGGGAGGCAGCAGUAGGGAAUAUUGGGCAAUGGAUGCAAGUCUGACCCAGCCAUGCCGCGUGCAGGAAGAAGGUCCUCUGGAUUGUAAACUGCUUUUAUCGGGGAAGAAUAGGUUUCUUGCGAGGGACUGUGACGGUACCCGAUGAAUAAGCCACGGCUAACUACGCGCCAGCAGCCGCAGUAACAC